CUUAAUAUCUCGUGUUCACCACGUGGUCUCGACAGCCAGCGGGGACCGGGCGUGCACGGUCUUGUCUGUCAGUCCGAUCGAUCGUAUUGAUGCUACCACUUGUAUGUAAAGGCGACACUGGGGACGCGUACAUUUGCACUUGGUAGCAAGCCUCGUCAGCAUGUCUGAGCGGCUGUGGGGUGUACUUAAAGCCCGAGGUGUGCAGCGUGACACAUUGGAAAAAAUGCAGAACGAAAAGAUUGACGAGGAUGUCAUUAUUGAAAUGACGGAUGAAGAACUCAGCGAGUACAUUCCUCGUAAGGGUGACCGAGUUGUCGUUAAGGCUUUCGUCCGGAAGGAGAACAGUGAAACUCAAACUCAGAAGAGGAAGUUUACACUGCUCGAGAGCUUGAGGUCCCGAAUGGCAGGAAAGUCAGGGA